rnacentral:rRNA from 1 species
GGUCCCGCCUGCCCAGUGACUCUUUAAACGGCCGCGGUAUCCUAACCGUGCAAAGGUAGCAUAAUCACUUGUCCCUUAAAUAGGGACUAGAAUGAACGGCUAAAUGAGAACUAAACUGUCUCUUGCGAGCUGGUCAAUGAAAUUGAUUUUCCAGUACAAAAGCUGGAAUAAACACAUAAGACGAGAAGACCCUGUGGAGCUUCAAAACCAAGUUCAACAAAUAAUGCUUCCUUGCGUUUUUAGUUGGGGCGACUUUGGAGUACAAAAAACCCUCCAAAACAUAUUAAACCAAUUAUAUCAAGAUUAACAAACCAAAAACUAUACAAGACCCAGCAAUAACCCCGUGUUUUGCCUGAUCAAUGGACCAAGUUACCCCAGGGAUAACAGCGCCAUCCCCUUAUAGAGUCCUUAUCGACAAGGGGGUUUACGACCUCGAUGUUGGAUCAGGACCCCCCAAUGGUGCAGCCGCCAUUAAAGGUUCGUUUGUUCAACGAUUAAAGUCCUA